UACAGAGGUCCCGAGCGUUUGUUCGGAUUCAUUGGGCGUAAAGGGUGCGUAGGCGGCUUCCUAAGUUUGAUGUGAAAUCCCGGGGCUCAACCCUGGAAUUGCAUUGAAUACUGGGAGGCUAGAGUACUGGAGAGGAAACUGGAAUUUACGGUGUAGCAGUGAAAUGCGUAGAGAUCGUAAGGAAGACCAGUGGCGAAGGCGAGUUUCUGGACAGUAACUGACGCUGAGGCACGAAGGCCAGGGGAGCAAACGGG
rnacentral:rRNA from 1 species